AAAUGUUAAAUAGAUAUUACUAUGCUUGAUUACGGUUCAAGAAGAUAAACAUUUUA
rnacentral:tRNA from 1 species